rnacentral:rRNA from 1 species
UACGUAGGGUGCAAGCGUUGUCCGGAAUUAUUGGGCGUAAAGAGCUCGUAGGCGGUCUGUCACGUCGGCUGUGAAAACCCAGGGCUCAACCCUGGGCCUGCAGUCGAUACGGGCAGACUAGAGUCCGGCAGGGGAGACUGGAAUUCCUGGUGUAGCGGUGAAAUGCGCAGAUAUCGGGAGGAACACCGGUGGCGAAGGCGGUUCUCUGGGCCUGUACUGACGCUGAGGAGCGAAAGCGUGGGGAGCGAACAGG